GUUUUCCUGUGUUUGGCUUCCUUGCUUUGCGAUGAUGCUGUCUUGAGUUCAUGUGCUGGACUCUUGUAUUUCGUGUCUUUGUUUUGCUUUGCUCUGUUUUCCUUGUUGUUUGACGUUCUUUUGUCAGUCUUGCUUUAUUGCUGCUCCUGUGUUGCAAUACCUUGGUUUUGUUCAGAUGUGGUGAUUGAUACUUUUCCCUUUCCCAUUCUUGGAACUCUUUUCUCCCUCCUUCAGGGUGUUCCUCUUUGUUUCUCGGCUUUUCAGGUGAUUUGGCUUUGCCUUCCUUGGCUUUUUGGAACUUGGGAAAAGGUACCGAGGUGCAUGGAUAUGGAGAAGAGAAGCUCUCCUGCUGUGGCUGAGAGGUGAUCCAAAGGAGGCCUCCCGAGCAAGCACCGCAAAGGCAGCUUGCUUCUCCAGAGGCUGCAGCAUAAGCUCGUGUUCCUUGUGGAGGACUCCGUUGUGCAUCUGCAGGAGCUGCUUUGGCAUGGAGGAUUUUGUGGAGUUGCUGCCAGUCGUUGCUCGGAUGAAGUGAGGCUUUUGUCCUUGUAUCUGUGCAGGAAAGCAGUGCGGAGGGAACGUGUGUGGUGAGAUGCUGAGGAGAGAUUGCCUCCCUUGCCCCAGCAGGCUGCUUGUGUCCUGGUGAUGCACGGUGACGAGAAGGCUGCUGUUCUGUGUAUGCCAGAGCAUGAAGCAUGGUCAACAAGCACGGGGUAGCAGCAGCUGGAAACAGGGGAAGCUUCCACAGAGCCCCCCGCUGGAGUCCCAGGGUGAUGAGCUGAAGCUGAUUUGGGCAGCAUGAAACCCGGUGGUUUUCCGGGAUCUGUGCCGUAUAGGGCUCAGGGCUGUCACUGGGGUUGCUUUCACAGGACGCCCCCCAGCCCAGCUCAGGACCCACGGUGAGUCUGUGGGUGACAAAUGUGUCACUGAGAGACAGCAUCAGGGUGGGAAUGCAUGGACCAUAGCGCCCAGGGCAGAGCCAAGCGGUGCUGUGGUUGGGGGGGGUCAGCCCCAGGGAGAAAGUCUCCCCCACGGAAGAAAUGGAUUGCUUAGCUCCCCACUAAGCUCCCAUUGCCUCCCAGUAUUGUCUAGAGUCUUCUUGUGCAAACUCAGUGCC
rnacentral:lncRNA from 1 species